AUGGCUACAAGGCUCCUCUGCUACAUAGCCCUUUGUCUCCUGGGAGCAGGCCUUUUGAAUGCCAAAGUCAUCCAGACUCCAAGAUAUCUGGUCAAAAAGAAAGAACAGAAAGCAAAGAUGAACUAUAGCCCUGAAAAGGGGCAUCCUGUUGUGUUCUGUUAUAAACAGAAUAACAACAAUGAGUUUACAUUCUUGAUUAGCUUUCAGAAUCAAGAAGUUCUUCAACAAAUAGACAUGAUUAAAAAUUGAUCCUCAGCUGAGUAUCCUUCGAACUCACCUUGCAGCCUGGAAAUCCAGUCCUCUGAGGCAGGAGACUCAGCACUGUACCUCUGUGCCAGCAGUCUGUCCACAGCACUGAAAUGUGCCUUCCCCUCAGUGCACAAACCCUCCAUGGAGCCAACUCAGGAAGCAGGUGCUGCUCUGGGUGGGAAGGAAGCAGCAGAAAUUAACUGGAACCAGUGUCAAUCACAGGAGAUUUCAUAUAAGUAG